AUAUAUAUUUCUAUUAAUCAUUUUCGGCCUUUCGGCAUUCGGUUUUCGGCCAACUGUUUCCUAUUUUCGGUAUCGGUUUUGGCCAAGAAUUUCCCAUUCGGUGCACCCCUAGUCCUGAGAUCCUGAGGGAAGAAGAGACCAAGAGUCUGACUCAGGAAGUAAAGGCGGAGACCAGGGAUACAACUCAGGGGCGGGGCUUCAGGGGGGGCUGUAGGGGCAGGGCUCCCCGGGCCCGGGACCCAAUGGGGGCCCGUCGCAGAGGCAGCAGGCUCCGCCCCCGAGAUAUUCGCCGGCGGGCCCUGCUGCCUCGCGCCACUGAGUGCACUGACGUUCGUGGUCAUAUUAGGUAUACUGUAAAGCAUUGUAGCCUAUAAUAUGAGUUGAACUUGUGCUGCUAUUUUCACACUCACAUUUAACAUUAAAACAUGAAAAAUUGCAAGUGAAUCCCUUCUAUUGUCUCCAAAUGUAUUUUGGGUAAAAUCAUCAUGAACAGCCGUCCAUCAACAUCAUACGUAAAUGAACGUCAACGUCAUCAUCAAUCACUUGUCAUUCAACAGAGCACUGCCUAAGCAUGAGCAGUUAUAAACACAAAAGUGGAGCUACAAAACGCAAAGAAAAAGAUAAAAAGGAGGACCAAGGAAAAGCCAAAUUGUCCAAGCUAGAUGGAUAUUUUUUUCGCCCUACUCCUCCUCCUGCGGGAGAUGAACCUGAAGUUGUUGCCACUGCCAGCCGUGUUUCAUCCCGAGCCCCAGCCCGCCAACAACGUUAGUGGGGGUUAGCCAGAUUUACAGUGAUGAUGAUAAUAGGGACGACUCAGCAGCUGCUAGCUGCUCGUCUAGAGGAGAGCCAGGCCUGACGCUUGACCAGCCGCACCCCUCCCCCUCCGGCUCCUUACCUGCUGCGCCGCAAGGUGAAGAAGUACCGGACACUGGGAAUUAAAGCAGCAACAGGUCUCCUCCUCACGCUACGCCUACGGGUGAAACUCAGACCACGGAUCAUGAUGUGUCCUGCAAUUAUCCUCUGGAGCGUUUUCCGACUGAUCGGGCAAACUAUUUUGAAAACAUUGAGGACGCCAAUAUCAAAAGAUAUAUCCUUAAAAUGGGCCCAUGCAAACCCAAAGGUCCAUUUCCCAAAGACAAGGAUAACCGUUGCUUUUCAGAAAACUAUUACACCUCCACCACUAAAGUUGGGAUGAAAUUUCCACGCAGCUGGAUGUGCUAUUCCCCAAAAUUGGACUGCUGCUACUGUGAGCCUUGCUGGCUUUUUGCCAACCGAAAGGCACCGUUCUACAACAAUGUAUGGGUAAACAGAAUAAAAGACUGGAAACAUCUUUCUACUAAAAUUGAGAGGCAUGAAUCCACUCAAAUACA